rnacentral:rRNA from 1 species
GGCUUAGAGUUUGAUCAUGGCUCAGGAUGAACGCUAGCUACAGGCUUAACACAUGCAAGUCGAGGGGCAGCAUGAACUUAGCUUGCUAAGUUUGAUGGCGACCGGCGCACGGGUGAGUAACACGUAUCCAACCUGCCGAUGACUCGGGGAUAGCCUUUCGAAAGAAAGAUUAAUACCCGAUGGCAUAGUUCUUCCGCAUGGUGGAACUAUUAAAGAAUUUCGGUCAUCGAUGGGGAUGCGUUCCAUUAGGUUGUUGGCGGGGUAACGGCCCACCAAGCCUUCGAUGGAUAGGGGUUCUGAGAGGAAGGUCCCCCACAUUGGAACUGAGACACGGUCCAAACUCCUACGGGAGGCAGCAGUGAGGAAUAUUGGUCAAUGGACGAGAGUCUGAACCAGCCAAAUAGCGUGAAGGAUGACUGCCCUAUGGGUUGUAAACUUCUUUUAUACGGGAAUAAAGUGAGGCACGUGUGCCUUUUUGUAUGUACCGUAUGAAUAAGGAUCGGCUAACUCCGUGCCAGCAGCCGCGGUAAUACGGAGGAUCCGAGCGUUAUCCGGAUUUAUUGGGUUUAAAGGGAGCGUAGGCGGACGCUUAAGUCAGUUGUGAAAGUUUGCGGCUCAACCGUAAAAUUGCAGUUGAUACUGGGUGUCUUGAGUACAGUAGAGGCAGGCGGAAUUCGUGGUGUAGCGGUGAAAUGCUUAGAUAUCACGAAGAACUCCGAUUGCGAAGGCAGCUUGCUGGACUGUAACUGACGCUGAUGCUCGAAAGUGUGGGUAUCAAACAGGAUUAGGUACCCUGGUAGUCCACACAGUAAACGAUGAAUACUCGCUGUUUGCGAUAUACAGUAAGCGGCCAAGCGAAAGCGUUAAGUAUU